AACGAACGCUGGCGGCAUGCCUAACACAUGCAAGUCGAACGAGACCUUCGGGUCUAGUGGCGCACGGGUGCGUAACGCGUGGGAACCUGCCUUUAGGUUCGGAAUAACUCAGAGAAAUUUGAGCUAAUACCGGAUAAUGUCUUCGGACCAAAGAUUUAUCGCCUUUAGAUGGGCCCGCGUAAGAUUAGCUAGUUGGUGGGUAAAGGCCUACCAAGGCGACGAUCUUUAGCUGGUCUGAGAGGAUGAUCAGCCACACUGGGACUGAGACACGGCCCAGACUCCUACGGGAGGCAGCAGUGGGGAAUAUUGGACAAUGGGCGAAAGACCUGAUCCAGCAAUGCCGCGUGAGUGAUGAAGGCCUUAGGGUUUGUAAAGACUC
rnacentral:rRNA from 1 species